ACAGCACAUUGCACAAACAGAGAUCUCAGAGCUGCAGACGAGAGUCUUUCAAGGUUAAAAAAGGAUUUUUUUUAAUUCUUUGAAAUCUCAAAAUGAAACUGAAAUGUAAAUCUGUAUUGCAAUAAUUGAACUCUUACAUUGAACCUCUAUUGUCUGCAAAAGAUCAUGCAAAAGCAGAAUUUAAGAGAAAUUGAUGCAUGGCAGAAGAUUUGUGGAUCAUUACGUGCUGCAGAAGAAUUGAAUAUCAGAACAAGAGAGAAAGGGGAAAAUGACAAAGAAAGAUGAUGAGACACAAGCAACUGAUCCGAGGCGAGUCAGACGGAACAGCAUUAACAGUGGAAAACCAAACUUUUCUCAAGAUCCAGAUGGUUUCAUACUGAUGUUUCAGAGACAUUUACAGACGAGGUGCAGUUCCUUUGACCUGAUCAGCAAAAUAUUUCUCACUAUUUCAUCACUGAUUAAAAAGUUCAUUUUAUAUUGCUUAUAUUUUUGCAUUAUUAUAGACAUUAUACAAACAUUAUAGAUCUAUAUGAUCAGCCGUUGUGUUCAUUACAGAAUAAGAGGUGUAUGAAUGGGUUUAAAGGGAUAGGUCACCCAAAAAUUAAAAUUCUGUCAUUAUUUUCCGUCAUGUCGUUCCAAACUUUUAUUGAUCUUCAGGACACAAAUGAAGAUCUUUUUGAUGAAAUCUGUGAUUUCUCUCUCUCCAUUGACAGAUACACAACUACACUUUGACUCUUCGAAAAGUUCAUGAUAGUAAAAUACUCCAUAAGAAAUCAGUGGUUUAUUAAUUAUUGAUCAUUAAUUAGUUUUCAUUAAAAGUAUCUUCAUUUGAGUUUUAAAGUUGAGCGAUCUGAACGAUAUGACGGUGAGUAAUUAAUGACAGAAUUUUUAUUUUUGGGGUAAACUAACACUUUAAUGUGUUUUGUUAUGACAGAAUCUGACCAUCACUGAUGUGUCAUCGCAGUAUUAACUGUAUGAUAUUAUACAUAGCUAAAACAGUAAUUGUUGCAGUACAUAAUGUGGUUGUUGUUGUUUUUUUUAUUUUUCCAACAUUUCAUAGUGAUGAUAAAUGGGGAUGCAAAAGACAGGAGACAAACAAACAGACAGACAGGACAAACUAAAUCCAUUACGCCUCAAGUAAAGUCAAUGUAAAUAUUUGUACUGAUUAUUUGUAUUGAUUUUUUGCAAUAUUUAAUGUUAUAUAAGACAAAUAUGGUAAUUUGUUGAGGUUUCUAGUAAACUGAGCCGAUGUAUACUGUAAAAGAUAGUUUAGUUCUGUCUUGCCAACUAGGUGUAUUGGUUAAUGUAUUGCAUUCAGAUCUAUCAGAAAGGAAUGAGGAAAUAUUGAGGAUAUAUUGAGGAUAUAUAUUCAUUUACUCAAUACUUUAGGCCAGAAUUUCUUGACAUAAAUGCAGAUCCAAAAGAAGUGAUUAACAUUUUGUGAUUUACAAGUAUUAAUGUUAACAGCCAAUAUGUAACAGUUUACUUUUGAAUAUAUGAGUAUUUUGUAUUGAAACAACUGUAUUUUAGAAUUACUGUAUAUAACAAAAAAUGUCAUAACAUUUUAUUUAGAUUGGUACAUUAUUCCAUAAUGAAACUGUGUAGCCAUUCAGUUGUGAAAUAGAUAAAAAUGGGGAUUUCAUGACAAGAUCAGACAUGAGCAACUUGCUCUGAUAGAUUAUAACCCGGAUGAAGUAGUUGACUUCUACACUCGAGAGAGAGAGCGCGAGAGAGAGAGAGAGAGAGAGAGAGAGAGAGAGAGAGAGAGAGAGAGAUUAUCACAGCGCUUUGUCUACCAUGCCACAGCCUUUGUAUUCUGUGUCAUAUUCAUUGCAAGGGCCAAAAAAUUAUAAAUGAAUAAAAAAAUAUAAACCAGA